ACCUGGGUGGCUCAGUCAGUUAAGCGUCUGACUUCAGCUCAGGUAAUGAUUUCACAGUUGUGGGUUCGAGCCCCACGUUAGGCU
rnacentral:tRNA from 1 species